rnacentral:rRNA from 1 species
AACGAACGCUGGCGGCAGGCCUCAAACAUGCAAGUCUAGGGGGUGUAGCAAUACAUCACCGGCGGACGGGUGCGUAACACGUGGGAAUAUACCUUUUGGUUCGGAACAACGCAGGGAAACUUGCGCUAAUACCGAAUGUGCCCUUACGGGGAAAGAUUUAUCGCCAAAGGAUUAGCCCGCGUCCGAUUAGCUAGUUGGUGAGGUAACGGCUCACCAAGGCUCCGAUCGGUAGCUGUUCUGAGAGGAAGAUCAGCCACACUGGGACUGAGACACGGCCCAGACUCCUACGGGAGGCAGCAGUUGGGAAUCUUGGACAAUGGGGGAAACCCUGAUCCAGCCAUGCCGCGUGAGUGAUGAAGGCCUUCGGGUUGUAAAACUCUUUCGACGGGGACGAUAAUGACGGUACCCGUAGAAGAAGCUCCGGCUAACUUCGUGCCAGCAGCCGCGGUAAU